GGUGAGAUCCCCACAGCCUCCAGUGUGCUGCUGACCCCUGGAUGCUUUUAAAGUCUCACUUUUUUGCUUCAUUUGCUCAAUUAUUUCUGUUUUCAUUCACAAGGAGAAUCUACAGAGACAUGGAGCAAACCCAGAGGAAAGGGGCUGUAAACCACCAGCCAAGUGACAGUGAACAGGGACACGUGGGCUCCAUUGCAGUGGGUGGCACAAGCUGGUGUGAAGCAGAUUUCCUCCAUAGUGCAAAAAGCCUUCACUGUGUGUACAUCCUGCUGUGAGGCUCCAUGGAGCAUCACUCUGGGUCCCUGUGUCUGUGACUGCCUGUGGAGCUGUGUUCUGGAGCCAGAUUACCCAGAGCUUGCGGUGGCAGGUACAGCAUCAGUCCACCUGCACUGGAACAAAACAACAACCUGCUGAGGGCACUAUCAGAGCUCCUGUGCCCCUUGUUUGACAGAAGACAAGUGCUGGAGAGUCACUGGAGGGUAGAUCCAGAGCUGCAGAGCUCCAGGCACAUCCCUAUCCGUGUUGGUGCAGUGCUGAGGGUAACACACCAACUUGGUUCCACAGAGCCAACUUGAACAGGAUCCAGUGUGACCGUGGUGCCUCUUCCACCCCAGCUCAUGGGAUGAGAGAAUUGUCCCUUUGCAGUCUGUGAAGUGUCCAGCCCAAAGACUCUAAGUACCAGCCCUCAGCACUACCCAGUGUGCAUGGCAAAGGCUCAUAGCAUGACCCUCAGCAUCAGGCAGGCUUCGAUCAGGAGCUGCUGUUCCAGGUACACCAAUGCUCAGGCAAUGUCAGGUUUUGUGCCUGCCACAAACCCACCUUGACCUACCUGUGAGCUCCUGAUACAGUCACUUGAGCCUCUCCUCAACAGUGGGGCUGAGCCCAUCCCCACUGCCCCCCAGUGCUGCCCUGUGCCUACAGACACGUCCUGAUGCUACAGCGAGACCUGGACAACCACCAUCCCAUCCCUCCUCCCACUCUGCCUUCUCUGGGUGCAUCACACAGCUUCCCAGCAUUCCCACCUGCUCCCUACCUUCUUUCCCUAUAGAAAAUCUCCUUUUCUAGGAGAGACAGAACCCCAGCGCACCCACAUACCCUUGUACACACAGCAAAGAGGUGACUACUGUGAGGACAACACUCAGCUCCCCAGGCUUUCUUUAGGAUGAGUCUCAAGUUGUUAAGCUCACCCAGCAGUAGCAGGUAGGCAAGCACUGAAUGGGCUGAUGGAGAGACCCAGGAACAGCCAGUACUUCCCUUCUUUGGUGUCCCAGACUGGGGAAGACACCUGAGCAUUUAAUCCUCAUUAACUACACAGAGUCUUGGGGAUCUGGGUGCCUGCAGUCCCAUUUCAGCCUCCAAUGUGUUUAUCCUUGUGAGGUUUGGGGACACCACACUCUGCUUUAAGACAGGAAACAGGAGCCAAGCAGGAGGCAGCAGCAGGGUGAGGAGCAAACCACAUGGCCCCCAAGCUCUGUGUUUAUAAAUGCACUGUAUGACCAUGCAGCUCUCCUAUUAAUGCCUUAAAUGACUGCAGUACUCCUGAUAUCCAUGGAUCCUUCCUCUUUAACUCCUUCACUGAGCUCACAAGCCUACCUGGACGCAUUAACUGGGAUGUGUUUGUCCCUCCGAGAGAAAGGAGAGGUUAUUCCACAGUCCUGGUUUCCUACCUUUGUUUUCCAUGCCAGAUAUGACAGAAAUCAGGAGGCCAGGCCAGGCUUUUCUUCUUCUUUUAUUUCUCUGCCAUAGACACACAGUGUGAGAGAAACCAAGGGGAAGGAUUGCACUGAGAUACGUGGGGAAGGGUGUCCAUGUGCAGAAGCUUCCGUGUCUCCUGUUACAGGACUGCUCAUCACAUACCAAGCCCUGACUGAUGCAGGUGCUCUGAAGAAACAGGAAUGGGUGGGUUGGGGCAGGGGAGCUUCUCACCUUUACCCCAGCCUUAUCCCACAGCAUCCUGAAAUCCCAGCGCCACAAAAGAGCAUCCCAGAACCCCAAAGUUAAAUGCAGAGCAUUAUGUGCCAUUCUGCUCUAUGCACUGCCCUGAAACUCAAGCAGAGAAGGAAAACAGGUUAAAAGGGGCUCGGUUGCCAGAUGCAGUUAAUGCAGGCAGCAAGGUAAGAAACCCCACACGAACAAAUGAAGCCCAAGAAGGAGGAGGGAAGGAGUUUCGCUAGCUGUUUAUUCAGUGUUUCAAGAGACAAGAGCAGGGAAGGGGGAAAAGAAGGCAGACAGCACAGCAACAGGUUUAAAAUAGUACAAAGAUAAUCACAUAGAGAGGAUCUGGUUCCGUAGUUACAGUCAGCACAGGCUGAAAGGGGGGAUUAAAAAACCUGGUACAAAGUGGGACUGAAAGCAGGCAAGUGAAGGGGGUUAAUAGGUUACAGCGUAUUUACAGCCCAGCAGCCAGUGUGCAACAACCCCACGGGGCAGCUUCCAGUGCCUAAAGAGAGAACUUCCUCCUCUCUGUGCUGUUUCAAUAGGAAGGGUUGGGAUUUGUGGCCAGGAGGAGGCUUUCUCAUCCCAAAGGCUCUCACCUACGUAACCCUAUGGGAAGAAAGACUCACUCUACCGUGAUUCAGAAGCCACAGGUCUCACAGGGUGGAUUCUUCACCCUGGGAAUCCACACUAACAUCCAUGUGCUGUUAGAGAGGGACACAAUGGAUUCAAGUCACCAUGCAGAGGCUCUGACUUCCCACUGGGACAGCCCUGGGGUUAAAGUAACCCCAGCCCCAGCUCCCCACAAGGCUGAGGAGGACCCAGCAGCUUGAUAUGAAUCCCAUUCCUAGGGAAACAGCACUUGAUCUCCUGGAAUCCCAAAGGAAAACCUUGUUUCUUCAGAGCUCCCACUCCUGCUCAGCCCCUUCUCCAUGGAACAGCAUCACCCGCAUGAGCA